rnacentral:rRNA from 1 species
GCACAAGCGGUGGAGCAUGUGGUUUAAUUCGACGCAACGCGAAAAACCUUACCUAGGCUUGACAUGCAUGGGAAAGCCCUGAGAAACCAGGGCCCCUCUUCGGAGUCCAUGCACAGGUGCUGCAUGGCUGUCGUCAGCUCGUGUCGUGAGAUAUUGGGUUAAGUCCCGCAACGAGCGCAACCCCCGUUCCCAGUUGCCAGCGGAUGAUGCCGAAAACUCUGAAAAAACUACCAAUACCAAACCGAAAAAAGGUGGGGACGACGUCAAGUCAUCAUGGUCCUUACGUCUAGGGCUACACACGUGCUACAAUGAUCGGUACAGAGGGUUGCCAACUCGCGAGAGUGCGCCAAUCCCAGAAAGCCGAUCUCAGUGCGGAUUGGAGGCUGCAACUCGCCUCCAUGAAGCUGGAAUCGCUAGUAAUCGUGGAUCAGCUACGCCACGGUGAAUACGUUCCCGGGC